UGUUACACCUGCUGCCGUCUGACAGAACAUGAAUGACAACAGCCUUAGUGGAGUCCUGUCACUGUAACAGGAGUUCAAACACAUUCAGUGGGACCUUUGGAGGAACUCUGUGUGCUGCCCGCAGGGACCAGGGUCUAAAUUAAGUACUGGGGACAUUUUUUACCCUUGGUCAAGCUCCGACCGGUGGAGCAGUGGUGGUUAGACCGUCUGGAUCGAUGCGUUGCUGGGUCACAGGCCAGCCUUCUCUGGCGCAGCGGCUCUGCUACUGUGCUGUUGAAGCCGUGGUGGAAAACACCGGACGGUGAAGAUGAAACGGACGGGAACACUGAACUGCAGGCUGCAGAGACUGGUGUGUUUACUCCUGCG